rnacentral:lncRNA from 1 species
GUUUGGAUUGGCCACAAAUGGUAUACAUUUUACAGGAGUCAAGAGUGAUGACCAGGGCGAUGGCAGAGAUCCGGUCAGCUCUGAAGUGCUGUCUCCUCCGCCCACAAGACCCCACCUUGCCUAAGUUCUCCAGGCCAGCAGAAGUCAUUAUCUCCCUUGCCAGAGAGUUCAGCACGUGCUCCCCCAGCACUGAGCAGCCAAGGGGCAGAAGGAGUGGGGGAGGGGGAGUGGAGAAGGCGGCGGUUCAGGGUGCAGAUGUCGUCACGGUCACCAUGUGGCAGCAACGGCCAUUUCGUGGCUAAGAAAGAGCCCCGGUGCCUGGCAACAAAGAGUACCCCUGGCUCAGGCUCUCUACACAUUAAUUCCACAGGGGCUGAACCUGGGACAUCCGAGCACCGCGGCCUCCUUCGCCCUUCGAUUGUUUUGCUGGUACUUGCCGGAUGUUGCUUUGACUGAGGUCUGGCAGAGCCCCCAGGGCAUCUUAUAAGCCACUCCUCACCUGAUCAGACCCACUGGGCCAGGACCUCAGGAUGCUUCCCAAGGCUGGAUCUCCUAUCUCUACCAGUGGGACAACUGACUGGAACCUGGAAUUCAGUGCCGUCCUUCACACCAUCAGGAGGAGAAUGAUCUAUGAUUGGCUGGUGAGCACAUGCGUGUGAGAUCAAGGCUUGAAUACAUGAGUGCUGUGGUGGUUCAAAUAUGCUUGGCCCAGGGGAAGUGGCACUAUUAGGAGGUGUGGCCUUGUUGGAGUAGGUAUGGCCUUGUAGGAGGGAGUUCAUCACUGUGGGGGUGGGCUUUGAGGUCCUAUGCUCAAGCAAUGCAGAAUAUGGAAAAGAACCUCCUCCUGGCUGAUUUCAGGUCAAGAUGUAGAACUCUCAGCUCCUUCUCCAGCACCAAGUCUGCCUGGACACUGCCAUGCUUCCUGCCAUGAUGAUAAAGGACUGAACCUCUGACACUGUAAGCCAGCCCCGAUUAAAUGUUGUCCUUCAUAAGAGUUGUUUCAGCCAUGGUGUCUCUUCACAGCAAUGAAAACCUGUGCUGCCUAUGCUCAGAUAUGGUAGGACACCCUACAGGAAGGAAAUGUAACCAGGUUUAUACAUGUUUAGUGGAGGGCAGCAGCUCAGACCACAGGCUUAGGAGUUAGACUGCUAGGAUGGGCGGGCCACUCUGCAGCUGGUUAACUUUGGUUAAUGGACCUAAUCUGAUUUUGCCUCAUUUUUUUUGCCAUUAAAUUCAUGAUAAUAAUACAUUUUUCAGAGUAUUGUUGUAAGGACAGUGCUAACAACAAACUGGUUAAGUACACAAACUAUGUGACUGCCUUACCAGCUAGUUAACUCUGGUUCUGGAAGCAAAGGUACCACUCUUAUAGCUACUCUCACUCUUAAGGCUCUGGGAGAGAGGGACUUGGGGGUAGGACUAAGCGUAUCGUCUAUCCUGGAUGAGAUGGUGGGGCAGGAAUGAACGGGGUGACUCUAACAAAGAGAUGGCCUUAGUUAAAAAUUUUCUUAAACUGAAGAAAUGUGAAGUCUGAUAUAUCAUGUCCCAUAUGUGUAACGAGUUUAAUCUCUUCUCUUCUUUCAUUUUCCUCCCUUCCCCUCCUUCCCUCUUCCUUUUCCUCUGUCUUCCACUUCCUCUCCUCUCCUUGCCUCAUUUCCUUUCUUCUUCCAGCCUCCAUCAAAAGAAAACCAGGAAAAUGUUUAAGCUGUCCUUGAGUUUGUUUAUAUUGGUAUAUUCUUAUAUUUAAAUUUACAUUUUACUUUGACAGCUUUAAAACUAUAAAUGAUCUUUUUAGACAGUAACAAAUUUCUACUACAGAAAAUGGGUGAGGACCGACAUUGAUUUCUCAUUAAAGCAGCCAUGAAUAGUGUAUAGUGGCAUAGAAGGAGUUAAUUCUGAGGUACAUUAUUUGAUUCAGAAAAUGGCUUAAAAUUUCAUGGUAUGUCAACCAUGGUAUUUAGUACACUAUCAACACUAUCUAAGUCCUCUAUGAAGACAGACAAGUUAAAUUUCAAAUGAGAAUGAGUUUUACAUACAUCAUCAACUGAGAUGCAGUCUCUGUACUUGUUUCCUUGGAAACGUAACUAAAAUAUUUAAAUGCUAAACUUACCUUGAUUCAGUAAGACAGAGAUACAAAAACAGAGUAAUACUAGCUAUCCUGGAUCAUUUUCUCCAGGAGAAAUAUGGAUGCUGUGUCCCCAAUUUCCUUGGUAAUUGUGGGCUCCUGUGGAAUAAGCAGGGGAGAGAGGGGAGUGUGGAUUUAGAUGUGGGAGGAACAUCAGAACCUUAAUUUUAAGAUAAGGUGUUCAUGUGCAACUUGGAAUGCCCCCAGAGAUGUGGCACUCUUACCUCCAGACCAGAGAGAUGGGAUUAUGUAUCUGCAGCAUUACGUCUAAACUUUUUGAAAUGACUUAAUUGCAGUGGUUCAUAUUGGCAUGCUACUCAGAGUUAUAGAAGAGAAACAGCUAGGCAAGCAGUGCUUGUCCCUAAAGGAGCAUGGCUUAGCUUUCCUAUUGAUGGCUUUGAUAGGUAAUAUAUAUACAUAGAAGAUCAAAACAAACAACAACCAAACAAACAAAAAGUAACAAACAGGACCUGAUACCUGUGCCUUUCCCUGGUCUUGUAACAACCCAUCUUUUGCCUAUGCUGUAGUGCUUACUUUUGCUUGUCAAUAACAGGAUGUAUACAGAAGCAAGUUGUAUUCAUGUGUUUCUCUGUUGCCAUGAUAAAACACUGACCACAAGCAAUGGGAGAAGGAGAGCUUUUAUUUGGUUACAGGUGACACUUCAUCCACCACAGAAACCAAGGCGGGAGUCUGGAGGUGGGAGCUGAAGCAAAGGCAGGAUUGGUGCUUGAUGUCUUGCUCCACAUGGCUUGCUUCAGUUGGUACUCUCUAUUUUGAAAAUCAAUUUUAUUUUCAAUUAAAAUAUACUUAUAUCCUUUAUCCUAGUUUCUCUCCAACCUUUCUCUCCACUCACAAAUUCAUGUCCCCUUUUAUUUUAUUAUUGCUGUAUACACACAUGCACAAAUACAUGCAUGCACACAUGCAUCACACACAUAUAUUUAUAUAGUAAUGUGAGAAAAAGUAUUUACAUAAAUCUGGCUGGGUUCAUUUAGUGCUGCUUGUAUGUAUAUGUUUUCAGAGUUAACCCAGAAGCACUGGAUAUUGAAUAAUUAGUUCAUUAAACUAAUUCUUGGUUUGAUUGAUUGGCUAUAGUCCUUGAAUGGCUAUAGUUUUUCAUCUAGCCCUCUUAUAUAACCCAGGAACAACCUGCCAAGGGUUAGUAUUGCUCAAUGCACCAUGCUUUCCCACAUGAGUUAUCAAGGAAAUGCUCACACAGAUUUUCCCAUAGGCUAAUCUGAUGGAGGCAGUUCCUCAAUCGAGGUUCCCUCUCAAGGUAUGAGACUAACCUGUGCUAAACUGAAAAUGAACUACAAAACCUUGAGUAAAUGGUGAACAAGAAAGGAAAUUUAAUUAGCUUUUCACCAGUUCAGGGAUGGAAGGCUUACCUGGGCUCAUAGGGUUCUAAGGUCUAUUCUGACCUGGGACCUCAAUUACAACUCUUGACUUUGAAAUGGACCAGGACGCAGAGAUCCAUACAGGAACUAGGCGUGGAUAGUGUACUCCCAACAUACAUUCCCCGGGGUGUACAUUCUCCCCCUAGCUUCUAUUUCCUAAUGUUGUGAGAAGCUCCUAAAAUAGUGUCACUGUUUCAUGACUAAGCAUGCACUACCCAGAUAGAUCCUACUGGUAACAUCACACAUUCAAAGGGACAGGGUUUUAAAUCCCGGAGGGGAAACUGGCACUCCUUCAUCACGUCUACAAGCAACACACUGACUUCCAAUAGCUGUGCAUUUUAAUAGCAACACAGGAAGACACGUCUGAACCUGACCUUGGAAGAAAAACAUAAAAUUUGAUCCAAGAACACUGUCAUAGACAAAAGGUAAGUGACCCUGAGCACAAAGCGGUUCAGGGAUUCCCCCGCCUGAUUCACAAAACGCUCUCAGUAGCUGGCCUCCUUCAGGAAGGGCUGGUUCAUCAGAGUGAGCUCAUCCUAUCUGCUUCUAGUCUGCCCUGGAAUAACCCAUCCCCUCCACCUUCUGUCUCACAGGUGUCCCACCAGAAGCUUCAGGGAGUAUCUCAAGGGUAUCUGGCAUUUGUUGUGCCAUCAAGGCAGGCAGACAAUACUCUUUUUCUUUUUCAUAGGCCUGUUAUCACCAGGUCCCAGUGCACAUCCAAAUGAAUAAGUACCAGAGUAAGUUCCUUUGCAAAGCGUUUUACUGCCUGGGUAAAACUGGCUCGCCACACUCUUGUUGCAUUAGCAUCUCUCCCAGGUUUCCCUUUGUCUCCUGCCAGUUUGGGCUUACCUGGAGCCACCACACUUUAAUUUUGUGUAAAAGAAGGCUUUAAACAUGUGACUUGUUGGGCAUCCUGAUUAUUAUGACUUUCUAUGAGAAGACUCAUGUGGGAAUUGUUGAACUCCUGCGUAAGCCACUGGGCAUCCUUUAGCAUCUGCGUGUCUCCUCAAGUCAUUUGAGUUUGAAGGCAGGUAGAAGCUCUCACCUUGUGGCCCAUGGCAUCCUGAGCUUCUGACUUUCUUUCCGUGUGUGCUGUGACAUUUUGUCCUCUGCAAAUCUCUUGGUCCUUGGUCUCAAGUAGUGGUACUGAGAAGUUGUUGGGGAGGCCAUUGCCGACACUGUCUAUGUAGAUUGUCCCCGUGCUUUCCUACAAAGAUAGGCUGUGGCCGGGGUUCCCUUUUGUCAUUUUCAUGGUUUGUCUUCACUAUCUUCUCAGAAUAAGAAUUGUUCUCUUCUGAAUUCCUGGUUUCACUUUGACUGCUUUGUCUUGUAUUCCCUGACAGUCCUGGCAGAUUGUUUUGUCUUGAAUGGUGUUGUUUCUGACCCAUGAAGCUGCCACACAGCCUUUGAUAUUUCUGUCAGUAUCUACUAGGAGUUUUUAUUUAUUUAUUUAUUUAUUAUUUACUUUUUUGAGAUCUGUGGUGGUCAGGGUCCACAUGAUCACCAGUUUGAUCAAUCUUAAUAAGUUCUCCUGGAGUGUGACUGAAGACCCUCCCUUGUGUUGUGGUAGAGGCACUUGUGACCCUUCCCACCAUGCACAAAUGUCACCUCAUUGCAGCAUCUUCCUGAGGGGCUCACCAUGCUCUUGUUGUUCUUGUUGUUUGCCUCUCUCUCUCGGGUUUACACGUCUCCUGCCAGGCACUUUGCAACCAAGAUCUAUUUCACCUUGUUCCUGUUUCACCAUCUUCCAACGCCUAGCUGGCUUUUCAGGCUGCACAUAGGUUUCUCUCUCAUCUUGGCAUUUCACUUUCCCUGAAUUUUUUGGCUCAGGGGUUCAUGCUGCUGGGGUAACUGCCAUACAGAGUGACUACUUGGGUUGUCUCUGCUCAUAUGCCUGGCGGACUCCUCUGGAACAGCCUUCUGAUUUCAUAUCCAAAAGAAGGUCAACUGGAAUCUUGGUUGGUGUUCUUGUGUUAUUAUCCUAAGAUAAGCCAAAGGAUCUCUUAUUCACACUAGACGUGGUGAUUCAAGGUCAAAGUCAGAAACCACUCAGAUUUCUUCCUCAUCAGGGGAGUUUGCUCUUGACCUUAGGUUCAGUCAGAUCCUGAAGCCAGAUGGAGACGACAUAUCAGUGAGGACUUGUACCACAGUGAAUUCAUCAAUCGAACCUUGUCUUCAUGGUGGAAGUCGACCUCCAUGGAGUUCAGGUAUUAAUCUUUCUGUUGGGGAAGAAAUGGGGCUCCAGAGCACAAGGAACCUCUCUAGACCCCCCAAAAUGUGGGACACGCUUAUUUUUUAAGCUAGUAUUCUGAAAGAUACCACAGCUUGGCAUUGCGCCCAGUUGCAAAGGAAGCCAGACUCCUGCCUGCCUCAGCUGAUGUCCUGACUAUGGGCUUUCAGGUUUCUUAUCUGGUUUUGAUGCAGUUUGAUGCAUCAUGACAACAUUCUAUGAAGCCAUUCCCACUAUCAUCCAAAACAAGGGACUUCAAGUUUUGUUUCCAUAUGUGGAGGGAAUGUUGGUCUCCUCCUGUUCUAAAGGCUGAAGCAAACCCACAGUCUAUCAGAACUCAAGGGGAGAGACAUGUAGAUCUGUCUCAAGGACAGUAUAAACGAUUGCAGAGAACAGCAGAUACAGGAUAUCUGGGUUUUCUCAGCUGUAAAGAGUAAAAGAUACCUAGGCAUCAGGGGAGGAAUUGAUACUCACAUCCCUUCCCCGUUGCUGAAAAGAAAAUUAUCACAAGUUAUACAUUUUUUCUUUUCAGUUUUUCUUUUUAUUGAAAAAUAGACUCUUUUUUGUGAUCUUAAAAUAAUGAUUGUUGCAAAAGAUUUCACUAUCUCAGCUAUUCGUAGAUAGUUCCCAACAUUAAGCAGAAGCAGGCUCACCACUAAGGUCUGCUUUUGCAUGACACACUUGCUUGCUUGGGUGGCUGAGGCACCUGCUACUCAGCUGUUAUAAAGUCAACCCUUGUUCAUACCCAGAUAGCAUAGGAGUGAAUGUAACUCCCCAAAAUUAUAACUCUGUGAAUUUUGUCUUAAUAAUCCUUGAGCUAACAACUUCAGGGGCCUUAUUUGGAAUAUUUUCUGAUUUGGUCCCAGCCAGUCUCUUUUUCAUAAAAUGUCUCUAAUUUACUAAAACCAAUACUUGAGUCAGACUGGUAACUCUGGAACGUACCCCAGACCAUCAACAUUUGGAAUUGCCAGUGAGAUCUGGGCAUUGGCACAGAAGUUGCCAGGUUUUGUCUGACCAGCCUUGGUUCCCCAUGCACUCUUGGCCUAAGGGUCGAGAAACUGGAGAGACGAAGUCCUUGUAGGAGUUACAGGGAUGUGCCCAACACCUAGCCUUUUACAUCUCCACAGAGUUUAGGUACUGCUUUUCCUGUUGAGGAUCUCUAAAGAGGUUAAAAAGCCUCUUUGAGGGCUUCCGAUCUGGGGGCUGAAACUUCGAUUGGAGAGGCCCAGUCCUUUGGGAAGUGACUGGUGAGUUAGUUCCCCGCCUUAGGGCAAAGGAAUCUGAGAGGCUCAGUGUUUAGGGGAUCCAUUGAGAGAUUUUUUUUUUCAACUCCAAAACUUGUGAAAAGAUGCAUCCAAAAGCCUCUGGAGCUAUAGGUAAGGAUUUUGUCUCCAGUAGCACUCAGUAAUGAGACUUGCAGCAAGCUGGGUGCUGUGUUCCUAGUGACCUCUAGGAUGCUGUGGACACGGGGUCUUCCAUACCCAAUUCUGAAGGAAAAGCGAGGCACCAAGUCCCAGGGCACUGCCUGCUGUUUUUCCAUUCUGUUUGUUGUCACUUAUUAUUUAUUUAUUUAUUUAUUUAUUUUAAAUCUAAAGUUGUGGGUCAAAAGUCUUCCAUUCAUGACAGCCUGUGAAGCUGAUGGAGGCUCGUUUUAAGGACUUCCAAAGAAAUGCUCAGGAGAGUGGAGAACAGUUCUAUGUCAGGAAACUAUUUGCUUUUCUCUUCCUUGAUGGAUCUUUAUUCCAGGUGGUCUGGCUAGCCGAAGUCUUCUUUAAAUGUUCUUUUCUUUCCAGGGUGCAUCAUAUAAUGCAGUUUUUAGUAAACCAGGGCAUCUAGACAUACUUUCCUUCCCUCUGGCCUGGACAUUCCUGGUAGAGGAGUCCCCUCCCUUGAUAAGAAAGUAGCAGCCAAAUUCUGUCCUCCUAAUGCCAGCAUUUUCAUUUCAGAAGAAACAAAUGAAACCAAGGGUCAGGACAAAAUCUGGCCCCAAGCCUCAUCAGCCCAGCUAGAUGCAGAAGAAGUGCUGCCGCCCUGUGUGCGAGCUCUGGAGGUCAGAAAGUGGAACUGGCCACUGGUGAUACUCCCUAGCCUGGCUCACUUCUCCCAGCCCUUGGGUCAGUCAUCUUAUGCAUGCCGGUCACUGAUUAGAUGGGAAAAUUUCCCUCUGGAGACAACGAGGAGGCCUGGUCACACUGGAGCAGGUUUCCCCAUUGGCCCCAGUCACCUGGUCAUUUGCUUAUAUUUGCUCUUGCCCCCAGUCUCCUUCCAAUUUUCUCUCAGAAGCCUCAUCCCCAUCCUCGCUCACAGAAGGAGUGAUAGAGUUCCCCAGGACUUCCUCUUCAGAGGUCCAGUCCACCAACCAUGGAGCUGACCCGGAGCUGAUAGCAGCAGGACCUGUUUCACUUGAUGCUCCCCCGACAUCUCUUGAUAUAGGUGUUUUCUCCUCAAGAGAGGCUCUCUUGUGUGGAUAAAGCCCAGUGGGAGAAGGAUGACAUGGGAUGGGGGAAACUUGGUAGCUGUUUAUGAUAUAUGUUUCUUUCUCUACUAGUGAUCUAUAUAAUUGGAAAGACCAAAUUCUCCCUGCCUUGGGAGAGCCUCAAUGGUUUAUUUAUUUAUUUUUUAAAUGAAAAUUAAUGUUUUACAAACACAAGCCUACUUGGGCAGCCUGUUGGCAGCUAUGUCAUUCCCCCAUCCCCCAACAAACAAGAGGAACAGAGUUCAAUGGGAACCCCAGAAACAAGUCCUGGGAAGUGAUAGAAGAUCAACCAAUGACUUGCGGUCAUUUAAGAUGUUUUCCCUGCCAAACAGCAGGGUUGGGACCUAAAUUCUGGUGAAGGUAGGGCGUCUUUCAAUCACUUCGCCAGACUCUGUUAGGGGGAUUUUAGGUAAUAGCCAGAAAGUCUACAAAUUUCUCUAAAGUAAACCAGAUAACUUUGGGUUCAGAAGGGUCACUAUAUGAUUUCCUGUAGCGCCCCCUAGAGGCCUAUGGGUCUUACACCCAGAUUGACCUA